AGACCCGAAACCCGGUGAUCUAGCCAUGGGCAGGUUGAAGGUUGGGUAACACUAACUGGAGGACCGAACCGACUAAUGUUGAAAAAUUAGCGGAUGACCUGUGGCUGGGGGUGAAAGGCCAAUCAAACCGGGAGAUAGCUGGUUCUCCCCGAAAGCUAUUUAGGUAGCGCCUCGUGAAUUCAUCUCCGGGGGUAGAGCACUGUUUCGGCUAGGGGGCCAUCCCGGCUUACCAACCCGAUGCAAACUGCGAAUACCGGAGAAUGUUAUCACGGGAGACACACGGCGGGUGCUAACGUCCGUCGUGAAGAGGGAAACAACCCAGACCGCCAGCUAAGGUCCCAAAGUCAUGGUUAAGUGGGAAACGAUGUGGGAAGGCCCAGACAGCCAGGAUGUUGGCUUAGAAGCAGCCAUCAUUUAAAGAAAGCGUAAUAGCUCACUGGUCGAGUCGGCCUGCGCGGAAGAUGUAACGGGGCUAAACCAUGCACCGAAGCUGCGGCAGCGAACGUAUCACUUAAAGCGAUUCAGCGGGUUACGAUUGACGGAGCGAAGCGACGUCAAAGCGUAUACAAAGUCGAGUC
rnacentral:rRNA from 2 species